AGAGGGGUAGUCAAAUGGAAAGAACACAGGCCUGGGAGUCUGAGGAUCUGGGUUCUAAUCCCAGAUCCACCA
rnacentral:tRNA from 1 species